rnacentral:rRNA from 1 species
CCUACGGGGGGCAGCAGUGGGGAAUAUUGCACAAUGGGGGAAACCCUGAUGCAGCGACGCCGCGUGAAUGAAGAAGUAUUUCGGUAUGUAAACUUCUAUCAGCAGGGAAGAAAAUGACGGUACCUGACUAAGAAGCCCCGGCUAACUACGUGCCAGCAGCCGCGGUAAUACGUAGGGGGCAAGCGUUAUCCGGAUUUACUGGGUGUAAAGGGAGCGUAGACGGUAUAGCAAGUCAGCAGUGAAAGACCGGGGCUCAACUCCCGGACUGCUUUUGAAACUGUUCGACUAGAGUGCAGGAGAGGUAAGUGGAAUUCCUAGUGUAGCGGUGAAAUGCUUAGAUAUUACGCGGAACACCAGUUGCGAAGGCGGCUUACCGGACUGUAAAUGACGCUGAGGCUCGAAAGCGUGGGGAUCAAACAGGAUUAGAUACCCUUGUAGUC